GCAUAUCAAUAAGCGGAGGAAAAGAAAAUAACAAUGAUUCCCUUAGUAACGGCGAGUGAAGGGGGAUAAGCUCAAAUUUUAAAUCUGCUAGGCCUUACCUAUCAGAGUUGUAUUUUGAAGAAGCGUUUUCCGCGUCUCGGUUGACCCAAAUCCUUUUGGGAUAAGGUAUCAUGGAGGGUGAGAAUCCCGUUCGGUUGACCUUAUGACGCUUUACUAUACGUUUUCAAAGAGUCGAGUUGUUUGGGAUUGCAGCUCAAAAUGGGAGGUAAAUUUCUCCUAAGGCUAAAUAUUGGCGAGAGACCGAUAGCGAACAAGUACCGUGAGGGAAAGAUGAAAAGAACUUUGAAAAGAGAGUAAAAUAGUACGUGAAAUUGUUGAAAGGGAAACGAUUGAAGUCAGUCGUACCGACGGAAAAUCAGCUCUUUGAGUGCGGACUUGUGGGCUUACGUGAGUUUUAACACCUCGCUGUUUGCAACGUUCGUGUUUUUUGGGUGUACUUUUUCGUAUGGUUGGCCAAUAUCAGUUUUGAUCGCUAUAAAAUGACCGGCGGAAUGUAGCUUCGAUCUCGUAUUGAAGUGUUAUAGCCUCUGGUAGAUGUGGUGAUCGGGACUGAGGAUUGCAACGAAUACCUUUUGGGCUAUCCGUCUGAUCUCUGAAGGUUGCUUAGGUGCCGAAAGCGUGCUUACGGUUAUUUAAGUUGACAGUCAAAAGGUUAGAACGUGAUUAUAUUCGUUAAGGAUGUUGACGUA
rnacentral:rRNA from 1 species